CUGGCUCUUCAACAGAGCCUACAGCCUUCCAAAAAGGGCAGUGCUGAGAGAAGGACAGGAGCCAUUUACCUCUCUCCAGACCUCAAGGGAGCUCUCAGGUCCAGUUCUGGGAGGGUUUCUCGCAAAGAGCAAGUAGGAACUCGUGUGCUCUCCGGCAUUCCUCCAUGAGAAGUGGUCGCUCUCUGACAUUAAAACAGCCGCAAUCGACGUUUGGAGUCGCUCCCAGUGAGCUCUCAAUGGGAAAGCACGAUGAGGAACCACUCUUCACCAAGCUCCCUUGCCUGUAUUUGCAAAGAUUGCUUAUCGAACUUAAACUGCUGGGCUAGCAGGAUAGAAGAUGAAGAAACUGAGGCAGGCAAUGAUUAAGUGACUUGCCCAGGGGUCACCCAGCUAGUGCCUGAAGUAGGAUUCCAUUUCAAAUUU
rnacentral:lncRNA from 1 species